CCAAUUGAUCUUCACUGGCAUCUCUGAAUGCGCACCUGUUCACUUCGUGAAUGUACAGUAAAAUAUAAUAAAAUGUGCGAAGUUCACAUGCGACGUGCACGUUCGUAGAGAACGUUGAUAAGCAAACUGGACAGUGACGUAACUAUAGUCGCCGAAUAGUGCUAGCCAGUUCUCCUUCUCUCACCGGUCUUAUCGUGCGUUAUUCUGUACGCACAUCGAUCCUCUUAUCGAGAGUCAUUCCGUCAAAUAUCCGUUAUUCAAAUCUGAUGAAACUAUAGAAUUGGAUGACUCAUCGAUCGAACAACUAUAUAUCAUUUGAUAGAGACAUCUUUAGAAUUUUGUUCAGAUAAAAUCAAAAUGGUUGCGUUCAGGACACUCAACAGUUGUACAACAGUUGAGUAAUUCGAUAAUAUAAUUGGUCCAAAUUUAGAGAUUUAACAGUAAGGACCAAUAAUUACUGAUCGCUCACUGAUCACUUGUGUUUCCUGAACGCAACCAUUCUAAAAUUAUACUAAAGAAAAAGAAAAUGAGAAUUUUUUAAUUAAGUUAACUUAUUGAUGUAUAUAGACUACUUCUAUUAAAUUUAUUAAAAGAGAUGCAAUCACGAAACUAAUUGUCCAAACAUAAAAUAUGGAAGUUUAUUUUAUGCUAUUAAUCAUUAAAUAUUAUUUAAAAAAAAAA